CAGUAGCCGCGGUAAUACGGAGGGUGCAAGCGUUAAUCGGAAUUACUGGGCGUAAAGCGCACGCAGGCGGUUUGUUAAGUCAGAUGUGAAAUCCCCGGGCUCAACCUGGGAAUGGCAGUGGAUACUGGCUCGCUAGAGUGUGUCAGAGGAUGGUGGAAUUCCCGGUGUAGCGGUGAAAUGCGUAGAGAUCGGGAGGAACAUCAGUGGCGAAGGCGGCCAUCUGGGACAACACUGACGCUGAGGCACGAAAGCGUGGGGAGCAAACAGGAUUAGAUACCCCCGUAGUCCCUGUCUCUUAUAC
rnacentral:rRNA from 1 species